AUUGAACGCUGGCGGCAGGCUUAACACAUGCAAGUCGAGCGGGGAAAGGUAGCUUGCUACCUGACCUAGCGGCGGACGGGUGAGUAAUGCUUAGGAAUUUGCCUAUUAGUGGGGGACAACAUUCCGAAAGGAAUGCUAAUACCGCAUACGCCCUACGGGGGAAAGCAGGGGAUCUUCGGACCUUGCGCUAAUAGAUGAGCCUAAGUCAGAUUAGCUAGUUGGUGGGGUAAAGGCCUACCAAGGCGACGAUCUGUAGCGGGUCUGAGAGGAUGAUCCGCCACACUGGGACUGAGACACGGCCCAGACUCCUACGGGAGGCAGCAGUGGGGAAUAUUGGACAAUGGGCGCAAGCCUGAUCCAGCCAUGCCGCGUGUGUGAAGAAGGCCUUUUGGUUGUAAAGCACUUUAAGCGAGGAGGAGGCUACUUGGAUUAAUACUCUAGGAUAGUGGACGUUACUCGCAGAAUAAGCACCGGCUAACUCUGUGCCAGCCGCCGCCGUAA
rnacentral:rRNA from 1 species